UCAUUAUCGAGUGCGAGCCCUCUGGGCUCAACCUCCCACCCGUGCCGUUAUAAUACCUGUUGCUUUGGCGGGCCCACUGGGGUCACCUGGUCGCCGGGGGACGCCUGUCCCCGGGCCCGCGCCCGCCGAAGCACCCCCUGAACUCUGAAGAAGAUAGGGCUGUCUGAGUACCUAGAAAAUUGUCAAAACUUUCAACAAUGGAUCUCUUGGUUCCGGCAUCGAUGAAGAACGCAGCGAAAUGCGAUAAGUAAUGUGAAUUGCAGAAUUCCGUGAAUCAUCGAAUCUUUGAACGCACAUUGCGCCCCCUGGCAUUCCGGGGGGCAUGCCUGUCCGAGCGUCAUUUCUGCCCUCAAGCACGGCUUGUGUGUUGGGUGUGGUCCCCCCCGGGGACCUGCCCCAAAGGCAGGCGGCGACGCCCGUCGGGUCCUCGAGCGCAUGGGGCUUUGUCACUCGCUCGGGAGGGACCUGCGGGGGUUGGUCACCACCAAAUCUUUUUACGGUUGACCUCGGAUCAGGUAGGAGUUACCCGCUGAACUUAAGCAUAUCAAUAAGCGGAGGAAAAGAAACCAACCGGGAUUGCCUCAGUAACGGCGAGUGAAGCGGCAAGAGCUCAAAUUUGAAAUCUGGCCCCUC
rnacentral:rRNA from 1 species